CCUGCCGCGGACUGCUGGGACUCGAAGUCCCUCCCUCUCGCUCCGGGCCUGGCCUAAGGUGAUGGCCACGCCCGGCGACCCAAGGCGCCUCUUCAGGCUAGUGCAAGAGGGCCGGCUGCGAGCCCUGCAGGAGGAGCUGCAGGCCGCUGGGGGCUGCCGGGGUCUGGCAGGAGACACCCUCCUCCAUUGUGCUGCCCGCCACGGGCGCCGGGACAUCCUAACCUAUCUGGUCGAAGCCUGGGGCAUGGACAUCGAGGCCACCAACCGAGACUACAAGAGGCCUCUGCACGAAGCUGCCUCCAUGGGACACCGAGACUGCGUGCGCUACCUGCUGGACCGAGGGGUGGCGGUGGACUGCCUGAAGAAGGCCGAUUGGACUCCUCUGAUGAUGGCUUGCACAAGAAAGAAUCUCGAGGUGAUCCAGGACCUUGUGGGACACGGUGCCAAUCCACUUCUGAAGAACAAAGAUGGCUGGAACAGUUUCCACAUUGCCAGCCGAGAAGGGGACCCUCUGAUCCUCCAGUACUUGCUCACUGUUUGCCCGGAUGCCUGGAAGACAGAGAGCAAAAUUAGAAGAACCCCUCUGCACACUGCAGCAAUGCAUGGCUGUUUAGAAGCAGUAAAGGUGCUUCUUACAAGGUGCCAGUAUGAACCAGACUGCAGAGACAGCUGUGGUGUCACCCCCUUCAUGGAUGCAAUUCAGUGCGGUCACAUUGAUGUAGCAAGGCUGCUCCUCGAAAAACAAAAGGCCUGCUCUUCAGCUGAGGAUAGCCUGGGGGCCCAGGCUCUGCACAAGGCAGCAGUCACUGGGCAGGUUGAAGCCAUCCGAUUCUUGGUGUCGGAUCUUGGCGCCAAUGUAGAUGUGAGAGCAGCAACAACCGGUCUCACAGCACUUCAUUACGCAGCUAAGGAAGGACAUACAGCUGCAGUUCAAACUCUCUUAUCCUUGGGUGCUGACAUCAGUGCUAAAGAUGAAAGAAAUCGAUCAGCUCUGCAUCUGGCCUGUGCGGGGCAGCACCUGGCUUGCGCUGAGUUUCUCCUGCAGUCUGGCCUGAAGGAUUCUGGGGACAUGACGGGCACCCUGGCUCGGCAGCUAACAGAGGAAACAGGUGCCCUUUGGGGCUUCGACCAUAGCCCUGUGACCUAAGAAGACCCACAGGACAAUCGGUUGACAGACUUGAAGUUAUAAGGAACACUGAAAGCAGUGUAUGAGGACAGUAUUGGGGACUGAGAAAAAGCUGUGUGCCCACAGAGAACCAGGGGUGAAUCCCCACACUAUCGCUACCCAGCUGGUGACCUUGUACCAGUUGCAUUUCCUACCUCCGUUUCCUGGAACUCAGACAAGACCGCACGGACGGCUCAGCCCUGCUCCCCAGCGACCGAGGUCUGGGCUGGAAGACCUGAAAGCGAAAAUCUCACGGGUGUGUGGAGUAUGAUGGUGGCUGCCGUCUGGCAAGCCCGGCUCCUCUCUGGAGGGAUCCCUGGGCUCCUGUGAGCUGCGAGAGAGCUGAGCAAGAGCCGCCUGGCCCGGCAGCGCCGAGCUCUGAAAGUCCGGGCGCUUCUUCCCUUCCACCUGCACAGCAGCUCGGUCCCAGCGGUUAAUAAACCGCCUCCUGCUGGGGAGCCGCAGCCUGGGACGGAAACCAGGCGAGCGCCCUCCCUGUGCAGACCCGCACUGCUGCUUCGCUGAAUCGCUGUCCGGUCCUCUUCGCUGGCCUCGCUCCCUCUGCUGCUGCACCUCGCUCCGCGCAGGACUCGCAACAGCCUGGGAAAGCACCAAACGCGAGGGCUCGGACUGCUUCCCCGGGCCUGAGGGCCGGCCCUGCUCGCCUCCCUGCAGCGACUGCUGCCUCCGAGCCGAGCCGAGCUACAACGGCACAGGCCUCCUUUCAGUUCCUCAAACAAAGCCGACCAAAUGUUCGCCUCACUCAGCAUCUGCCUGGACAUUUCUCGUCUUGACUUCUCACGUGGUUUACUCUCAUUGCUUUCUGUUCCCAGUUUAAUAAACUGAGCAGUCCCCGAGCCCAAUUUAAAAGCCCUUCCUGAAAUCCUGUCACCUGAGGAUGUUAUGCUGGUUGAAAUAGGCCAAACACAGAGAAGCAAAUCAAUUUCUUUUUAACCCCAGGGGGGUGAAACUCGGCAAGUGCUCUAGACAUCCCCAGGUUUUGUUUUUGGUGGUGGUUGUUGUUUUGAAACAGAGUCUCAUUAAAUUGCCCAAUAGCCUGGAACAUGGGAUCUUCCUGCCUCAGCCUCUCACGUAGUUCACACAUAGCUUUUUGUAUGUCAAUUAUUUGAUUAAGUGGUUGGAUAGAUAGAUAGAUAGAUAGACAGGUAGAUAGAUAGAUAAGAUCAGGCACUUCCUACUUGUACGUAAUGUCCUGCUUUCGUUUCAUUUGAAUUUAGAUAAACAAUGAAUUUUUUUUAGUAUAAGAAAGUCCCAAAUAUUGCACAGACUAUUUUUAUACUAUAAAAGUGUUUGUUGCUGGUCUAAAAUUCAAACUGAAGUGAUAGUCUUCUUUUUGUUUUCCUUUUUAAAAAAACCUUUUUUAGUACCAGUGGUC